AUAAUACUCCAUAGAUUAGAGAUACUGGAAUGUUCUUUAGUCAAAAGUUCCGGCGCCUUAGGAUGGAUCUGCGGUCGAUUAGGUUGUUGUUGGGGUAACGGCCCAACAAGCCUGUAAUCGAUACGGGUUGUGGGAGCAAUAGCCCGGAGAUGGAAUCUGAGACAAGAUUCCAGGCCCUACGGGGCGCAGCAGGCGCGAAAACUUUACAAUGCAGGAAACUGUGAUAAGGGAACCCCGAGUGCCCGUAUACGCGGGCUGUCCAGGUGUUUAAAAGUCAUCUGAAGAAAGGGCCGGGCAAGACCGGUGCCAGCCGCCGCGGUAAUACCGGCGGCUCGAGUGGUGGCCACUAUUAUUGGGCUUAAAGCGUCCGUAGCUGGACUGAUAAGUCUCUUGGGAAAUCCGCCGGCUCAACCGGCGGGCGUCUAAGGGAUACUGUUGGUCUAGGGACCGGGAGAGGUGAGAGGUACUCCGGGGGUAGGAGUGAAAUCCUGUAAUCCCCGGGGGACCACCGAUGGCGAAGGCAUCUCACCAGAACGGCUCCGACAGUGAGGGACGAAAGCUGGGGGAGCAAACCGGAUUAAAUACCCGGGUAGUCCCAGCCGUAAACUAUGCGCGUUAGGUGU
rnacentral:rRNA from 1 species